rnacentral:lncRNA from 1 species
CGUUGCUGUCGGAUGGACUUGCCUUCCGACAUGAAGCCUUGCCUUCAUGAUUACAUGACUGAAUGAUUAAUGAAUGGAAACAUUUCAUGUAAAGAAAUUCAAAGCUGCAAGAUAAUCAUUUAACUAAUUUUAGCUAAGCAUGCAGCUGCCUAACUAGGGACAACCUGUUCUAACCCUCCUUGUAGUUAAAUGGAGCCACGUAACAUUUUGGCAAUGCAAUCUGGAGACCCAAAGGAGAUACAGGCCCAGCUUUAACCAUACAGGCAACAAAAGUGCCCUAGGAAACAACAGAGCAAGAAAUUGGAAAGAACCUGGGUGAUUGUAAAUGGCACACCCUGGACUCUUAGAUGGCGCUGUGAGAACAACCCAGGAUUGGAGCUCGCGUUGAAUCCGCAAACGGACUUGUCUAUUGAGAAACAGCAACGCUGGCAACCAUUUACUACCAACAAGAGGCAGUUCCAAGAGAAGAAUAUAAAAUAUGCUCUGCUCAACCCCACGAAACUCAGAGUGUCUCACAAUGGCCAAUUUAUUAUUUUUACCCUGUCCAGUGACAUGGAAGGAUGCAUCAGGGAGCUGCUAGCCUCUGCGAUGAAUAACUUAAGUCAGGCUGCAACAUGUGAAAUAAUUCAGCUGACCAGGAUUUAUAACACUAGCUGGAUUUUUUGCUUUCUUUGGGGUUCAUGAAGCAUGGUGUUGUGAGAUACCACAGGAGUCCUGGAGUGAAGUUACAUGCCUAUUUCUCUUCCUUUAUUUUUUGGUAUUUUCAUAUUAUUUUAUUGCCUACUCCAAAUGUCUUCCUAAGCAGGGUCCAGCCUCCUAGGGGACACGUCUCUUCUGAUUUUGAAAAUUAGA